AUACUCUUCCUUGGCCACGUGUAUAUACUAAUAUUGGAACGAUAGAGAGAUGAGCGUGGCGUCUGCACAUGGAUGACACAUUUUUUUUAUAGAACAAGUGAUUUAUU